CGUAGCUGAUGGGAAGCAGGUUAAUAUUCCUGCACCGUCGUUAGAUGCGAUGGGGGGACGGAUCGCGGAAGGUUGUCCGGGUGUUGGAAGUCCCGGUAUCUGUAUCAGAGAAGGCUGUUAGGCAAAUCCGGCAGCGUAAUUCAAGGGUAUGGGUCGAGCGAACUUGUUCGCGAAGCAAUCGGAAGUGGUUCCAAGAAAAGCCUCUAAGCUUCAGUCUAACGAGACCGUACCGCAAACCGACACAGGUGGGCGAGAUGAGUAUUCUAAGGCGCUUGAGAGAACUCGGGAGAAGGAACUCGGCAAAUUUGUACCGUAACUUCGGGAUAAGGUACGCCCCGGUAGUUUGACUGGCCUGCGCCAGGAGGACGAAAGGGCUGCAAUAAAAAGGUGGCUGCGACUGUUUAAUAAAAACACAGCACUAUGCAAACACGAAAGUGGACGUAUAUGGUGUGACUCCUGCCCGGUGCUGGAAGAUUAAAUGAUGGGGUGCAAGCUCUUGAUUGAAGUCCCAGUAAACGGCGGCCGUAACGAUAACGGUCCUAAGGUAGCGAAAUUCCUUGUCGGGUAAGUUCCGACCUGCACGAAUGGAGUAACGAUGGCCACACUGUCUCCUCCCGAGACUCAGCGAAGUUGAAAUGUUUGUGAUGAUGCAAUCUACCCGCGGCUAGACGGAAAGACCCCAUGAACCUUUACUGUAGCUUUGCAUUGAAUUUUGAACCAAUCUGUGUAGGAUAGGUGGGAGGCUUUGAAGCGUGAACGCUAGUUUGCGUGGAGCCAACCUUGAAAUACCACCCUGGUUUGUUUGAGAUUCUAACCUUGGACCGUUAUCCGGUUCGGGGACAGUGCAUGGUGGGCAGUUUGACUGGGGCGGUCUCCUCCUAAAGUGUAACGGAGGAGUUCGAAGGUACGCUAGGUACGGUCGGACAUCGUGCUAAUAGUGCAAUGGCAUAAGCGUGCUUAACUGCGAGACUGACAAGUCGAGCAGGUACGAAAGUAGGACAUAGUGAUCCGGUGGUUCUGUAUGGAAGGGCCAUCGCUCAACGGAUAAAAGGUACUCUGGGGAUAACAGGCUGAUUCCUCCCAAGAGUUCAUAUCGACGGGGGAGUUUGGCACCUCGAUGUCGGCUCAUCACAUCCUGGGGCUGUAGCCGGUCCCAAGGGUAUGGCUGUUCGCCAUUUAAAGUGGUACGUGAGCUGGGUUUAAAACGUCGUGAGACAGUUUGGUCCCUAUCUGCCGUGGGCGUUGGAAAUUUGAAGGGGGCUGCUCCUAGUACGAGAGGACCGGAGUGGACGAACCUCUGGUGUACCGGUUGUCACGCCAGUGGCAUUGCCGGGUAGCUAAGUUCGGAAGAGAUAACCGCUGAAAGCAUCUAAGCGGGAAACUUGCCUUGAGAUGAGAUUUCCCGGGAACUAGAUUCCCCUAAAGGGUCGUUCGAGACCAGGACGUUGAUAGGUCAGGUGUGGAAGUG
rnacentral:rRNA from 1 species